UACAGAGGAGCCAAGCGUUGUCCGGAUUGACUGGGCGUAAAGCGCACGCAGGCGGUUGCGCGCGUGGGGUGUGAAAUCUGGCCGCUUAACGGCCAGGCGCCAUCCCAUACGGCGCGACUGGAGUGAUGCAGAGGUCGAUGGAAUUGCCGGUGUAGUGGUGAAAUGCGUAGAGAUCGGCAGGAACACCCAGGGGGGAAGCCAGUCGACUGGGCAUCUACUGACGCUGAGGUGCGAGAGCGUGGGGAGCGAACCGG
rnacentral:rRNA from 1 species